AUACGUAGGGUGCAAGCGUUAAUCGGAAUUACUGGGCGUAAAGCGUGCGCAGGCGGUUUUGUAAGACAGGCGUGAAAUCCCCGGGCUCAACCUGGGAAUGGCGCUUGUGACUGCAAGGCUAGAGUGCGUCAGAGGGGGGUAGAAUUCCACGUGUAGCAGUGAAAUGCGUAGAGAUGUGGAGGAAUACCGAUGGCGAAGGCAGCCCCCUGGGACGAGACUGACGCUCAUGCACGAAAGCGUGGGGAGCAAACAGGAUUAGAAACCCCAGUAGUCC
rnacentral:rRNA from 1 species